UCCUGGCUCAGGAUGAACGCUGCGGCAUGCCUAAUACAUGCAAGUCGAACGGAUAUCUUCGGAUAUGAGUGGCGAACGGGUGAGUAACACUAGGGAACCUGCCUGCAUGAGCGGGAGAACUUCUGGAAACGGAAGCUGAUACCGGAUGAGCAAAGAGGAGGCAUCUCUUUUUGGAAAAGGGGACAAGAGUCCCGCAUGCAGAUGGACCUGCGGUGCAUUAGCUGGUUGGAGAGGUAACGGCUCACCAAGUCGACGAUGCAUAGCCGGCCUGAGAGGGCGGACGGCCACACUGGGACUGGGACACGGCCCAGACUCCUGCGGGAGGCAGCAGUAGGGAAUUUUCGUCAAUGGGGGGAACCCUGAACGAGCAAUGCCGCGUGAGCGAGGAAGGUCUUCGGAUCGUAAAGCUCUGUUGCCGGGGACAAAAGGCAGAAAGAGUGGAAAGCUUUCUGAGUGAUGGUACCCGGCGAGGAAGUCACGGCUAACUACGUG
rnacentral:rRNA from 1 species